AGAAUUAGCUAGGCGUGGUGGCAGGUGCCUGUAAUCCCAGCUACUCAGGAGGCUGAGGCAGGAGAAUCGCUUGAACCUGGGAGGCAGAGGUUGCCGUGAGCUGAGAUCGCGCCAUUGCACUCCAGCCUGGGCGACAAGAGCAAAACUCCGUCUCAGAAAAAAAAAAAAAAAAGAGUUGAUGUGUUGAAAGACAGAGAAGCGAAGACAGAGACGUGGAAAGACAGGGAGAGAGACACGGAGAGAGACGCAGAAGGACAGAGACGUGGAGAGAGACGCAGAGAGACAGAGACGUGGAGAGACACAGAGAGACGUGGAGAGACACAGAGAGACUUGGAGAGAGACAAAGCAAGACAGGACGGGAGAACAAGGACAAGCUCAGGUAAGCCUCAGCCGGUGCUGCAGGCAGUCUGACUCGCA
rnacentral:lncRNA from 1 species